rnacentral:rRNA from 1 species
AACGAACGCUGGCGGCAUGCCUAACACAUGCAAGUCGAACGAGACCUUCGGGUCUAGUGGCGCACGGAUGCGUAACGCGUGGGAACCUGCCCUUAGGUUCGGAAUAACUCCCCGAAAGGGGUGCUAAUACCGGAUAAUGUCUUCGGACCAAAGAUUUAUCGCCUUUGGAUGGGCCCGCGUUGGAUUAGCUAGUUGGUAGGGUAAAAGCCUACCAAGGCGACGAUCCAUAGCUGGUCUGAGAGGAUGAUCAGCCACACUGGGACUGAGACACGGCCCAGACUCCUACGGGAGGCAGCAGUGGGGAAUAUUGGACAAUGGGCGAAAGCCUGAUCCAGCAAUGCCGCGUGAGUGAUGAAGGCCUUAGGGUUGUAAAGCUCUUUUACCCGGGAUGAUAAUGACAGUACCGGGAGAAUAAGCUCCGGCUAACUCCGUG